rnacentral:tRNA from 1 species
ACCUGGGUGGCUCAGUCGGUUAAGCAUCUGACUUCAGCUCAGGUCAUCAUCUCGUGGUUUGUGGGUUCAAGCCCCGCGUCGGGCU